GGGGGUGUAGCUCAGUCCGGCAGAGCGCCACGUUCGCAACGUGGAAGCCACGGGUUCAAAUCCCGUCACCUCCACCA
rnacentral:tRNA from 1 species